UCGUCAAGGUUGCGAUGCUAAACACGUUUAUGCCAAAAUAAACAGUUUUC
ensembl:ncRNA K03C7.6 ncRNA